rnacentral:rRNA from 1 species
AGUGAACGCUGGCGGUAGGCCUAACACAUGCAAGUCGAACGGCAGCACAGUAAGAGCUUGCUCUUACGGGUGGCGAGUGGCGGACGGGUGGGGAAUACAUCGGAAUCUACUUUUUCGUGGGGGAUAACGUAGGGAAACUUACGCUAAUACCGCAUACGACCUACGGGUGAAAGCAGGGGAUCUUCGGACCUUGCGCGAUUGAAUGAGCCGAUGUCGGAUUAGCUAGUUGGCGGGGUAAAGGCCCACCAAGGCGACGAUCCGUAGCUGGUCUGAGAGGAUGAUCAGCCACACUGGAACUGAGACACGGUCCAGACUCCUACGGGAGGCAGCAGUGGGGAAUAUUGGACAAUGGGCGCAAGCCUGAUCCAGCCAUACCGCGUGGGUGAAGAAGGCCUUCGGGUUGUAAAGCCCUUUUGUUGGCAAAGAAAAGCAGCAGGUUAAUACCCCGCUGUUCUGACGGUACCCAAAGAAUAAGCACCGGCUAACUUCGUG